rnacentral:sRNA from 1 species
GAAAGGGAAGUGAGCCAAUAAGGUAUGUGAGUAUCUCAAUUGAUUGUGCACAGUAACAGAUCAAACUCCUUGUUCUAUUUACCCCCUUCUCACUACUGCACUUGAGUAGUCUUUU